UGGUGGAUAAACAGCAGCCUGUGGUGUACAGGCAGGAUCUGAGGUAGCAUCACUGAGCCACGGCAACAACUGCCCCUCGCCUGAAAGCACCUUCAUUGUUUGCCUGAAAGCUCUGUAUAAUUGAAACACUGCUUUAGUAAAAUUAGUUUGGAGCUCUUUGGAUGUCUGUUUUUUUAUCCACCAUCUGCAGAAAGAGUGUGUUACCGUGGUGAAGACACUAGAGGCAGUGGACCAGGACAAACAGGGAAUCAGAGGGAUGGGCUUCGGCCAGUUAGUCACCGCCAGGGACGCCAUCUGGACACAAAGGGACAAAUGGCUCUUGUGAGGCAGGCUGUGCGUCCUGGUGGGUGACCUGCUCUGCAUUUCCAGCGCAGCUCCUGCACUGUCUCCAAGGUGCUGUCUCAACAGUGAUGUCUUGUGACUGUAUUCCUACUCUAAUCAUCCAGUGGUUUUAUUGUUGUUUUUUGUGUUGCACUGCAAUUGGCUGUUGUAGCCGCAGAGCGAGAGGAAGUUAUCCAACUAGGAAAGUUUCUGUUUCUGAGGUUUAUCUGAAUUUACAGCACAGUCCUCAGGGUCCGUUUAUUGUUGAAUUGUAUUAAGUUCUUUUCAGCUUGUGUGUUGACUUGGAAGCUUUAUUAUUAGUUUUCUUGUGAUUGCAAUUUUUCAAGGUUCAACUGAAGUUUUCAGAAAUAAAAUAAAUCCACCAGAGGGGAGAUCUGAUGAAUUUAAAAAUGGGUAGAGUGUAUAGGGAUUUGUAAAAUGUUUGACAUGAUUUCUGGAUUUCUUCUAAUUUAGUGUACAUACAGACAUACAUACAGUGUAUAUGAGCCCCACUGCACAUGAAAUAAAGAGCACUUCCAC